AUCCAGAUGGAGAGUCCCCAAUAAGACGAAACGCGCAUCAUGGAU
rnacentral:hammerhead_ribozyme from 1 species